CCGCUCAGCCCUGAGCAGAGUAAACGGAGGUCGAUGGUCGGGACCACUUGCUGGAUGGCACCCGAGGUGGUGAGAAGAGAGCCAUACGGCCCCAAAGUGGACAUCUGGUCCCUUGGCAUCGUGGGAAUAGAAAUGGCCAAAGGAGAGGCUCCUUAUAUUCGGGAAACCAGUGAGAGGCAUCCAUUUCUCCAGUCAGCGGAGCCUCUCUUAAGCCUCUUCUGACAGCCUGAUCGCUGUCAUCCCUGUAGCCAAGUCAUGCAGGAAGCAAAGGAGAUGACAAGGACCACUUCAGCACUUGGAGAACUGAACCUGUGAGAACAGAUCACAUGGGCCCCUGCCAUCUAAAUCCCAACUCUAAGGGCUUUUCAAAUGAAAAGGAAGGAAACUUGCAGCGAAGCAAUCGAGGAAGCAGAAGAGAUGACCAGGACCACUUCAGGAUUACUUCCUCCAAAG